GAUGAAGAACGUAGCGAAAUGCGAUAAGUAAUGUGAAUUGCAGAAUUCAGUGAAUCAUCGAAUCUUUGAACGCACAUUGCGCCCCUUGGUAUUCCGAGGGGCAUGCCUGUUCGAGCGUCAUUAUAACCCCUCAAGCUCAGCUUGGUGUUGGGGCCUGCCGCACGGGCAGCCCUUAAAAUCAGUGGCGGUGCCAUCUGGCUCUAAGCGUAGUAAUUCUUCUCGCUAUAGAGUCCCGGUGGAUGCUUGCCAUUAACCCCCAAUUUUCUAUGGUUGACCUCGGAUCAGGUAGGGAUACCCGCUGAACUUAAGCAUAUCAUAAGCGGAGGA
rnacentral:misc_RNA from 1 species